AGGAUUCCCCUAGUAACUGCGAGUGAAGCGGGAAAAGCUCAAAUUUAAAAUCUGGCAGUCUCUGGCUGUCCGAGUUGUAAUCUAGAGAAGUAAUGCCCGUGCUGGACCGUGUAUAAGUCUCCUGGGAUGGGGCGUCAUAGAGGGUGAGAAUCCCGUCUUUGACACGGACUACCAGUGCAUUGUGGUAUGCUCUCAAAGAGUCGAGUUGUUUGGGAAUGCAGCUCAAAAUGGGUGGUAAAUUCCAUCUAAAGCUAAAUAUUGGCGAGAGACCGAUAGCGAACAAGUACCGUGAGGGAAAGAUGAAAAGAACUUUGGAAAGAGAGUUAAACAGUACGUGAAAUUGCUGAAAGGGAAACGCUUGAAGUCAGUCGCGUUGGCCGGGAAUCAGCCUUGCUUUUGCAUGGUGUACUUUCUGGUUGACGGGUCAGCAUCAAUUUUGACCGCUGGAAAAAGGCCUGGGGAAUGUGGCAGCUCCGGCUGUGUUAUAGCCCCUAGUCGCAUACAGUGGUURGGAUUGAGGAACUCAGCACGCCGCAAGGCCGGGUUUCGACCACGUUCGUGCUUAGGAUGCUGGCAUAAUGGCUUUAAGCGACCCGUCUUGAAACACGGACCAAGGAGUCUAACAUGCCUGCGAGUAUUUGGGUGGAAAACCCAAGUGCGCAAUGAAAGUGAAAGUUGAGAUCCCUGUCGUGGGGAGCAUCGACGCCCGGACCAGAACUUUUGGGACGGAUCCGCGGUGGAGCAUGUAUGUUGGGACCCGAAAGAUGGUGAACUAUGCCUGAAUAGGGUGAAGCCAGAGGAAACUCUGGUGGAGGCUCGUAGCGAUUCUGACGUGCAAAUCGAUCGUCAAAUUUGGGUAUAGGGGCGAAA
rnacentral:rRNA from 1 species